UACGUAGGGACCAAGCGUUGUUCGGGUUUACUGGGCGUAAAGGGCGCGUAGGCGGCGUGGUAAGUCACUUGUGAAAUCUCCGAGCUUAACUCGGAACUGCCAAGUGAUACUGCUGUGCUAGAGUGCAGAAGGGGCAACCGGAAUUCUUGGUGUAGCGGUGAAAUGCGUAGAUAUCAAGAGGAACACCUGAGGUGAAGACGGGUUGCUGGGCUGACACUGACGCUGAGGCGCGAAAGCUAGGGUAGCAAACAGG
rnacentral:rRNA from 1 species